rnacentral:ribozyme from 1 species
CAACGAACGAAUCUAGAAAUGAUGCUACCACCGGUGUUGAUGGAAAUGUGUUUUCAGAUAAGUUAACUAAUUUGUUAGUAACCAACACUACUACUGAAUCUACAACCCAUUUGGGUAUUGCCGUUGACCCAGC